CAAAAACAUCGCCUCCUGCAAAAUCAAAAGUAUAUGAGGUCCUACCUGCCCAGUGAUAUAAAUAAAACGGCCGCGGUAUCCUGACCGUGCGAAGGUAGCGCAAUCACUUGUCUUUUAAAUAAAGACCUGUAUGAAUGGUGGAACGAGGGCUUAACUGUCUCCCUUUUCUGAUCAGUGAAAUUGAUCUGCCCGUGCAGAAGCGGGCAUAAUUAUACAAGACGAGAAGACCCUAUGGAGCUUUAGACAUAUAGCCACCUAUGUUAAAGACCCCUCAAUAAAAAUGAAACAAAACAAAAUAGCAGCUGACUAGUGUCUUCGGUUGGGGCGACCACGGGGAAAAAUAAAACCCCCAUGUGGAAUGGGAUACAUCCUAAAACCAUGAGAUACACCUCUAAGCCACAGAACUUCUGACCUAAAGAUCCGGCACUUAGCCGAUCAACGAACCAAGUUACCCUAGGGAUAACAGCGCAAUCCUCUUCAAGAGUCCCUAUCGACAAGGGGGUUUACGACCUCGAUGUUGGAUCAGGACAUCCUAAUGGUGCAGCCGCUAUUAAGGGUUCGUUUGUUCAACGAUUAAAGUCCUACGUGAUCUGAG
rnacentral:rRNA from 1 species